UUGGGUUGAUAGGCCGGAGAUGUAAGCCAGGUAACUGGUUCAGUCGACCGGUACUAAUAGGCCGAGGGCUUAACCAC
rnacentral:rRNA from 1 species